GCUUAACGCGAAGAACCUUACCAAGGCUUGACAUGGAUUUCUAAGCACGUGAAAGCGUGUGACCCUUCGGGGGACUUCCACAGGUGCUGCAUGGCCGUCGUCAGCUCGUGUCGUGAGAUGUUGGGUUAAGUCCUGCAACGAGCGCAACCCCUGUGAUUAGUUGCCAGCGGGUAAUGCCGGGGACUCUAGUCAGACUGCCCAGAUCAACUGGGAGGAAGGUGGGGACGACGUCAGGUCAGUAUGGCCCUUACGCCUUGGGCUGCACACGUACUACAAUGCCCAGCACAAUGAGAACCGAGACCGCGAGGUGGAGGAAAUCUGUAAAACUGGGCCCAGUUCGGAUUGGAGGCUGCAACUCGCCUCCAUGAAGCCGGAAUCGCUAGUAAUGCUGCAUCAGCUACGGCAGCGUGAAUACGUUCCCGGGUCUUGUACACACCG
rnacentral:rRNA from 1 species